rnacentral:rRNA from 1 species
GACGAACGCUGGCGGCGUGCUUAACACAUGCAAGUCGAACGAAGAGCGAUUGAAGCUUGCUUCUAUCAAUCUUAGUGGCGAACGGGUGAGUAACGCGUAAUCAACCUGCCCUUCAGAGGGGAACAACAGUAGGAAACGACUGCUAAUACCACAUACGAUCCGACCUCGGCAUCGAGGAGGGAUGAAAGGUGGCCUCUAUUUAUAAGCUAUCACUGAAGGAGGGGAGUGCGUCUGUUGAGCUAGUAGGCGGGGUAACGUCCCACCAAGGCGAUGAUCAGUAGCCGGUCUGCGAGGAUGGGCAGCCACAUUGGGAGUGAGACACGGCACAGACUGCUACGGGAGGCAGCAGUGGGGAAUCGUCCGGCAGCGGCGAAAGACUGACGGAGCAACGCCGCGGGAGGGAGGACGGCCUUCGGGUUGGAAAGCUCUGUUAUUCGGGACGAAAGGUCUUCUUGCGAAUAGGUAGAAGAAUUGACGGUACCGGAAUAGAAAGCCACGGCUAACUACGUG